UUCCCAUUGGCUUUAGCCUGCAGAAGGAGCCACCCUUGUUCCAAUCUAUCCCUGGGUUUAAGAGCAUUUGGAAUUCGGGAUCCUUGGUGAUGGAUGCUGCAUUUCUGAGGCAUCGUCUUUUGAAGAUGUCCUCGAUGCUGGGGAGGCUAAUGCCCGUGAUGGAGCUGGAGCAGAGGAGAUUGCACCAUGAACACCGAAUGCAGUGGAUUGGAAGAAGUGCAAAUGGAUUGUUGCUUCAUCUGGAAAGAA